UACGUAGGGCGCAAGCGUUAUCCGGAAUUAUUGGGCGUAAAGAGCUCGUAGGCGGUUUGUCGCGUCUGCCGUGAAAGUCCGGGGCUCAACUCCGGAUCUGCGGUGGGUACGGGCAGACUAGAGUGAUGUAGGGGAGACUGGAAUUCCUGGUGUAGCGGUGAAAUGCGCAGAUAUCAGGAGGAACACCGGUGGCGAAGGCGGGUCUCUGGGCCGAUGACUGACGCUGAGGAGCGAAAGCGUGGGGAGCGAACAGG
rnacentral:rRNA from 1 species